rnacentral:rRNA from 1 species
UUGUGCUUGCUUGUCUUGCGCUCUCACUGCUCUGACGGAUGCUUUUAUUAGACCAAACCGCUGAGGACUUGAGGGUUCGCCCUCUAGUUCGACUCGUGCGAUGGUGACUCUGGAUAACCUUGACGAGCGCACGUACUCCUCUUCUGAGCGAGACGGCGCUGCCACUUUCGAGUGUCUGCCUUAUCAGCUAUCAACCGUUCGUUAUGCGCGACCGAUGGCUUUGACGGGUAACGGGGAAUCAGGGUUCGAUUCCGGAGAGGCAGCCUGAGAGACGGCUACCACGUCCAAGGACGGCAGCAGGCACGCAAAUUACCCAAUCCCAGCAAAUGGGGGAGGUAGUGACGAAAUCUAACGAUGCGGGCGCCCUUUCUGGGGCCCCGCAAUCGGAAUGGGCACUUUCUAAACAACCUGUUGAGAACCUACUGAAGGGCAAGUCUGGUGCCAGCAGCCGCGGUAAUUCCAGCUUCAGCAGCAUCUAUUAAAGUUGCUGCGGUUAAAAGGCUCGCAGUUGAAUGUCUGUAUCGAGCGCAGGUCAGGUGGACGUUGGGGCGUGGAAGUACGGGCAGUUGGAUGUUCGGAGGGCAUUCGUGCUCGAUGGCUCCUUCGGCUUUUCCACACACCCCCGUCCGUGACAAGCCUCCUCGCUCGGGUACAUAACGGGAAUCGGUCAAACGGAGUGUGGUCGGGAGUUGAGGUGCGUGGUUUCGGCUGCGUGCUCCUUCUUUCGGCUGCGUCAAGCUCCAUCGGUUUCACGGUCACCUUGAGUAAAUCAGAGUGCUCAAAGCAGUCGUAGGGGCCUUGCGCCCUGUGAACAGUCUUGACGGACUGACUUGGUUUUGCAUGGCAUGUCGGAAGACGACGUC